rnacentral:misc_RNA from 1 species
GAGAGAUGGAUUGAUAUAAAAAGCAGAAGAAAGAAAGAAAAGAAAAACCAUGGUCAACCAAGAAAGUUAAAGCAGCAAGUAGUCAGAGGCAUCUUCUGGUCUUGUUUGUUAGCAUUUUUGACAAGUGGUUCUGAAAAUGACUCCAUGCAAAUUCUAACCACAGACAGAGACAUCUUUGUUCAAAAAAGAAAAAGAAAACCAGAGAUUUCUCAAGGGAGAGAGAUAUACCUUCGAU